AACGAACGCUGGCGGCAUGCCUAACACAUGCAAGUCGAACGAGACCUUCGGGUCUAGUGGCGCACGGGUGCGUAACGCGUGGGAAUCUGCCCUUGGGUUCGGAAUAACAGCGAGAAAUUGCUGCUAAUACCGGAUGAUGACGUAAGUCCAAAGAUUUAUCGCCCAAGGAUGAGCCCGCGUAGGAUUAGCUAGUUGGUGAGGUAAAGGCUCACCAAGGCGACGAUCCUUAGCUGGUCUGAGAGGAUGAUCAGCCACACUGGGACUGAGACAUGGCCCAGACUCCUACGGGAGGCAGCAGUGGGGAAUAUUGGACAAUGGGCGAAAGCCUGAUCCAGCAAUGCCGCGUGAGUGAUGAAGGCCUUAGGGUUGUAAAGCUCUUUUACCCGGGAUGAUAAUGACAGUACCGGGAGAAUAAGCUCCGGCUAACUCCGUGCCAGCAGCCGCGGU
rnacentral:rRNA from 1 species